ensembl:lncRNA
CCUCUCCCUCCCCCUCUCUCUCUGUCUCUCUCCCUCCCCCUCUCUCUCUGUCUCUCUCUCGCCCCAUCGCUCGCCCAGCCCUCAGUGAAGCUGCAGUUUGUAGAUUUAAACGUCAAAUACCUCGGAAGUUUAGUCCUGAAUUAAGAUUGAGUACGAACGGCCGCUGCCAACAAGCCGUCGCCGUGGGAGACAGGAGCCACGCCCUGCUGCAACGCUCCGGUGUAUAAAACAAACGCACCCUGAAGAUAGACCAGCUUUAAGCUUUACGCUCCCUCUCCCUCUCUCUCUCUCUCUCUCUCUCCCCUCUCUCUCUCUCUCUCUCUCUCUCUCUCUCUCUCUCUCUCUCUCUUUCCCCCCCCUCCCUCCCCCCUCUCUAAUGGUACAGGCCGAUCAGGAAGCCUCAGUUUGUCUCUGGGUGUACUCCCAUGUGACGUCUGUCCGUGUCCAACAUGCAGCACACACGCGUGUGUGUCCGUCGUUCCCACGCACCACAGAAGUGUGGCACAGAAGUGUGCCAGGGUUGUCAGGGGCAACGACGUCCGAUAGAAUCCAUCCCUCAUGAGCGGAGCUUCCCCUCCAGUGGGGGGCGCUGUUGGUUCCCACAGGUUUGUUACGCUUGUUUUUUUCUUGCUCUUUCUUUACAAAUCGCAGCUUUUUGGACCCAAUCUGGAAGGACGUUUAUCACUGGCUGGUGAACCGGCCCCCACGCUACGGAUGGUUUUAUGUUAUUGCUUGUUAUAAUUGUAAUUUAAUAGCUUGAGAUGUUUCUGUGCUCUGAGAUGUAUUGAGUAGGCUUCAGAUAAAAAGGACUGUCAGUAUAAAAAAAAACUGAAUGUAUUUAAAAAUAUAUAUGUUUUCCAAUAAUGUUUGUAUUAUUUCUAUAUAUAUAUAUAUAUACAUAUAUAAAAAAACGGACUUGUUUUUGGAAUCGAAGUGUGAACCAGUGGGCUAUUUUGAAUAUUGUUCCUUUCCCAUGAGGGGUGAUGGCCUAAGCCACGCCUCCCUGUGGCGGCCAUGUUGGAACCGCUCCAGAUUGGGUCCUAGCCGCCGUGUUCGGCCUGUGCUGAUGACGUCAUCAGUGUGCGACAGGGGAAGUGCUCCGUUUGUAUACCAACGCUUUCUCUGUGUGUCGUUCUACCACUCUCGCUCUCACUCCGUUUCUGUCUUCGACUCUCAUCCCAACAUUUUUCUACACGCUUUCGCCCAUUUUGAAUUCCGGUCUCAUCCCCGCCAUUUCCCCCUUUUACCCAAAACACCACCACCACCACCAUCACCCCCACCACCAUCAUCACCCCCCGUACCACAACACCCCCACUCCCGACCCCUAUGACCAGCUCCAUCCCCACCAUCACAACCACAACCACCUCCACCAACCCCACCCCUACCCCCAUCACCACCACCCCACCACCACCACCACCACCUCAAAUCAGAUCCCAACCCUCGCCACUUCUCCUCCCAACAAGCCCAAUCUCUCCUAGACUCCCGUUUUACUUGGGAGUCUUUUAUACAAGAACACAACAAAUGUAAAUUAUGUAUUAUUGAUAAAUUGUAAGAGUAUGAAUGAGAAGAAAAAAAACAAACAAGAAAAAAGAAAAAGUGAUAUUCUGAAAUCUUAAACCUUUUUACCAGCAUUCUUGUUGCCAAGUACUGUGAUGAGGAGAUCUCUGGGAGGUCUCUGGACAGCAGGGGGCUCCACCACGCGUACACAACUAAGGAUUUACCAUCAUGAGAAGUGCCAACACGCUCUCUUCUUCUAGGACUCUCAGGCUGCUCUGGGCGGCCUCUCGUUCAAGGGAAUCAGAUUCUAUAUAUCCUUGUACACAGAAGAAAAAAGAAGAAGAAGAAGAGAAAAAUAGGAUUUAUUAACUAGUUUGCUCUCGGAGAUGUUUGCAUGUUAUUUUUUCUAAAGCGCUUGGAUAGAGGACUUGUAUUUUUGCAUUCGAUUUGAUUUUUGGAUUGAUUUUUAAAUUUGGUUCUUUUUUUUUUAUGCUUUGCCUUGUUGCCCCCCAACCCCCACCCCUCUGAUUGGUUUAGUCUGGAUAUAGCUUUGUUUUCUUCCUCUGUAUGAGAUGCACUUUGUGGUACUUUAAGGGUGUUAGAAGGCGAAGGAGAAGAAGGUGGAGAACUUGGAUAAGAACAAACUGAACAUUUUCAUUUUCAUCUCCUGGCCUCCGACGACGCUCUCCGUGAAAGACUUCUUCCUUGUCCGUUUUUUCCGUUCCUCUUUUUCUUCGUAACUGUUUUAUGUCUUUGGGCGACAUUACCUCCGCGGAGAGACCCUUUCCUCCCUGUUUCGUUGUGCCGGGGACGGGCGGUGGAAAUCAUACGGAGUUCGAGUUCAACAGGUGGGAACGGUUUUCCCUUCGCACAAAUUACAAACAGAGACGGUGUGAAGCUCUCUGGACGUGCAGGAGACACUGAGAUGUAGGAGAACCUGGAGGAACAUUCUAGGAGCGAGGAGCGAACCCUCACCCUGAAUCACUGGGAGAGACUCCUCAGCGGUCUGACAAUGCAUGGAAGAUGCAUUAUAAAAAAAGAUAACUCUACGGAACGUUUCUGACAGACGUGACUCUCAGUGUACAAUAAACCCUCCGACAGGGACGCGACGGAGCGGGAGAACAUGCCACGCCACACAAAAAACUAACUGUACAUUUUUUAAGUGUAAGAGAACAGAGUAGAAUUUGUAAAUAUUAUGUUUAUCGUUUGAGUUUGAGUGAUUGGCCAAAUAUAUUAUUUUCUUUACGACAGCAGGUGCAAGUUUAGACAAUGUUAGCACUUUAGGUACGGUUGAUUAGCAUUUGUUUCGUGAAGGUUAAAUUCCCCGGCAACACAAAUUUCGACAGGGAUGCUUUUGGCUUCAGUUCAACCGACUCACAGAAGAAAGCUAACCGCAGAAACCUCCAUUUGCUAACAGCUAAUGCAAGCAUAACACAUUGGGAGCCUGGAGGCAGCUUUCAGUAAUUAAUUCAUUGAUAUCUUUUUUCUCUGUUAAAUAUCCAAAGAUACAUUAGAUACAUGAGAAUACAAGUAGGCCUACCAGUGUUACAUAAUAGUUUUCAUAAAGAUAUCAAAAAAGGAAGUUGUACAACCAACACGAGGAGCUAAUCUAAAUGUGGAGCUAGCUCCUUGGGUUUUUUCGCUACACUCUUAAAUAUUUCUCUCAUUAUUUAUAUUCCAACUCUUAGCUGUAAGUUUGAGUUCCCGAAACUUUUCCGGGUUUUUCCACAGAAACGUUGUAGGCUAUUCUUUAGAGGGAAACGCCGUUGGGGCGGCCAACACAAUAUGGAAGCACAGUCACACUACACAUGUUUACACUCACUGACCGUUCAUUUACCGCCACCGUUAACACGAAACGAAACAACGACCACCACGACAAAGACAUUCGGAUGGCGUCUCGAAAUAUAUUCAUAUUCCAACGUCAACACUGGACUUAAAAAAACAAAAAAAUCCCAGGCUUGCACCUGUAUGUCCCUGUUUUGAUUUGUCUGAUUCCGUAACCUGCUUGAGCUCGACAUACUGUGAGAGAGAGCAUAAGGACCGGGCGCGUGGAGAAUGAGGGUCUACUUUCUAUUCCCAAUAGAAGCUAUUACACACUGUAUGUUGUGUAUCUGAAAUGGAAAACAUUAAAAAAAAUCUUAAACAAAUAUAGUUUUACCAUUACUGUAGUUUCGCCGAGUCAUUUUUUCCCAGUGUGUUUAACGUGUGGUUCUGCCAGUCGUUGCUUCCUAGGACCGCCAGUGUGUUUAACGUGUGGUUCUGCCAGUCGUUGCUUCCUAGGACCGCCAGUG